UGAGGAAUAUUGGGCAAUGCCCGCAAGGGUGACCCAGCAACGCCGCGUGGAGGAUGAAUGUCGUAAGAUUGUAAACUCCUGUUAGAGGGGAAGAAUAGUACCGGUUGGACCGGUAUAUGACUGUACCCUCAGAGAAAGCCCCGGCUAACUACGUGCCAGCAGCCGCGGUAAUACGUAGGGGGCAAGCGUUGUCCGGAUUUACUGGGUGUAAAGGGCGCGCAGGCGGGAUAAAAAGUCAGUGGUGAAAUCCUACAGCUUAACUGUAGAACUGCCUUCGAUACGUUUAUUCUUGAGUUCGGGAGAGAGAGACGGAAUUCCAGGUGUAGUGGUGAAAUACGUAGAUAUCUGGAAGAACACCAGUUGCGAAGGCGGUCUCUUGGUCCGACACUGACGCUGAGGCGCGAAAGCGUGGGG
rnacentral:rRNA from 1 species